UUGAAGCAUCUGGUGUUAAAGAAACAUCUUGGAAGUGAAUCAAAUCUUCUUUCUCCUUCAAAACAGCUGCAGAAUCAGAAAAGAAAAGACUAUCUAAUGAACUCAUCUCUUUCUCCUUCAACACCUUCUCUGACGUUUCAGGCACGUCAUUAGCUGGAAUAAGCUCAGGAAAAAAGGAAUCAUAACUUCUCAAACCGAUCUCUUGCGAAGGGAAGUCAAGGUCUAGCAGCUUAUCGGUAGCCAUAUCAUAAGGCAAGGUGAUAACUCGAGGAGUCUCC
rnacentral:lncRNA from 1 species